GACGAACGCUGGCGGCGCGCUUAACACAUGCAAGUCGAACGGAAAGGCCUGCUUUCCCUUGUGGAUUGCGGGUACUCGAGUGGCGAACGGGUGAGUAACACGUGAGUGAUCUGCCCCCAACUUGGGUAUAAGCCUGGGAAACUGUGUCUAAUUCCCGAUAGGACUGCAGGGUGGUGCCUGUGGUGGAAAACGAUUUUCUAGUGGUUGGGGAUGAGCUCGCGGCCUAUCAGCUUGUUGGUGGGGUAAUGGCCUACCAAGGCGGCGACGGGUAGCCGGCCUGAAAGGGUGGGCGGCCACAUUGGGACUGGGUUACGGCCCAGAGUCGUACGGGAGGCAGCAGUGGGGAAUAUUGCACAAUGGGCGGAAGCCUGAUGCAGCGGCGCCGCGUGGGGGAUGACGGCAUUCGGGUUGUAAACUCCUUUCGACCGCGAGGAAGCCACAUGGUUGGAAGGGUGGUGACGGUAGUGGUAGAAGAAGCACCGGCUAACUACGUG
rnacentral:rRNA from 1 species